rnacentral:misc_RNA from 1 species
ACAGACUAAAGAGCUCAUUUGCCAAAACAUUGAGCCACUGGUCGUUCGUAAGCAAAUCAUUAAUUAUGCCGACAUCUUGAACACAAGUGUAUUACAGCAUGGCGGACAAAUGGCUUUCUGUCCUAAUUGCCGUGAGUUUUCUUUGCUUUGUUUCCGCCAACACCCCGGAGAAAUUCAGAACAUGGCUAAAAGCCGAACCUUUCAAGUCCUAUAAUAGACGUAUUUUCCCUCGACUUAUUCAGACUGAAAAUGUUACAGUCACCAUCAAGUAUUAUCUCAUCGCCAUUACGGGCUUUGACGAGAUUUCCGGACAGAUGGAUACAGUGGGUUAUAUGAAGGUUAACUGGAAUACCGAGCUCUUGACGUGGAACUCUACCGACAUCCCUGGGAUCACUUUACCGCAGGACAAUUUCUGGCUUCCAUCUUUGGUAGUUGCCAACUCCGUGACCUCGCUUUUUGAGGUUGGUCAUCCUAGUUACCCGGUGCGAAUUGAGAACAAUGGAGACUGUGAGUGGACAGUAGGAAUUGUGGCAAAGACGGCGUGUGCUGUAGAUGUAUCGUACUAUCCCUUUGACAUACAAACCUGUAAAGUCACCCUGAAUCCAUGGGGAUUCACUGAUAACCAGGUAAUAUGUCAUUAUACUGUAAAUCUAGAAAUUUCUGCGCAAUAAUAACUUUUGAGAUAUACUCAAGAAGUAUUUUUACAUGUAAUAAUUCUACUAGAUUACAUAGAUGCAUGUAAAUCAGUUGUUACAUGUAGCUUUUUAGGAAUUGCAUCCUUUCAUCUUUCUUAUCUUAACAGUAGUUUGUAUAUGUUUGUAUGGAACAUUUGAGAGUGGUAAUACUUGUAAACGAACGACCAAAACUAAGACAUUCUUCCCUUAUUUGGUUAUUUUUGUUUUAGAUUUACCUGACGUCUAAUCAAGAAUCAAUCGACUUGACACAUUACAUGGAGAACGUCCAAUGGGAACUUUCCAAUUCUACAAUCGAAACAAAAUCCGUCAGCAGCACGUCUUUCUUACAUUUUACAAUCGUUAUGAAGAGGCGGCCUGGCUACUUUGUUAUCAAUAUCGUAAUCCCUAUUCUAAUUCUCGGGCUUCUCAACGGCAUGGUUUUUAUAUUGCCUGUGGACUCCGGGGAAAGGGUCGGGUUCGCGAUUACAGCUUUCCUUACUUUUGCCGUGUUUCUGACUAUGGUGUCUGCGAACUUACCGCGGGCUGCCGAGCCCAUGUCCCUCCUGUGCUACUUUCUGACGCUGAUGUUGGUUUUGAGUGCCCUGUCCUGUGUUAUUACGAUCAUGACGCUCAGAGUUUAUCACCAAGACGAGGACACAGUUGUCCCGAAGUGGCUCAGACACGUGGUUUCUUUCCUGAAUUUUGAAAAGUUCAAGAAGUGGUGUUGCUCUUCUAAAAAGAGUAAAAACUCGGUCGGUGCCGACGACGACUCCGAUGAUGACGAUUUUGACGAAAACGCACUUCCGGUCAAGAAGGGUUUUGAUGACAAUAAGUCGGAGACAUCUUCUGAGGAAACGAAAGAAGAAGAGGACGACACACUUCAUAUCACGUGGCGAAAAGUUGGGAAGACACUGGACAUGUUCUUUUUUGGGCUGUUCGUUCUCGGUACCUGUGUUAUUGCUGCAUUCUUCUUGGUACCUCUUGCGACAGAAACAUCGAAUUAACAUUAUAAUUUGAAAAUUUUUAACUUUCUACAGACGCCACAUUUUUUGGGUUAUUUUUAAUGAAUGUUUAAUAAAAUUAUGAACCCGG